CUAAUUUAACGUUCGUUCUACGCAAGCUUAAUUUCAAACUAAAAUGCACGCGCACGCGCGUGUCUGUUCUCAUUAUCGAAAUAUCUGUCUAAAAUAGGCCUCCAUACUGUCAAAGACUCAAAACUGUUUAAUACUUUCAUACCACGAUGUAUUUCCCUGAGAGACUCUAUUCCUUCUUUCACUUUUCUUUGUCUCAAACCACUUUCUUUUGCCACAACACUUGUAUUUUCCCAAUCAACUCCACUUAAACAAUUAUUCACAUUGUGUCGCGCUAAUCCCCCGUCUUCCUUUCCCAUUCGUUCAUUCGCCAUUGUCAAGUUCCCGUUUUUGAUAUCUUCAUUCGUUAGUCUCACUUUGCUUUCAUGUUCCUUUUUUCUUGUCUUCAGUAAUCUCCACGUUUCUCCAACAUACGCUGCCUUCUCACAUUUGCACGGAAUCUUGUACACAACACCUUUCUGCUUCUCACGAAGUGGUUGUUGGGAUCUGGUCUUUAGAUCUUUGACUUUCUUUCCUGGUUUGAAUGCCGUUUGAAAAGAAUGUUUCAAAGCUACUCUCUUAAACUGUUCUGAUAUUCCGCGAACAUACGGUACUAUCACCUUUCCUCGAUAUUGUUGUUCUUCCAUUUCUCUUUCACCCGUGAGAAGCAGAAAGGUGUUGUGUACAAGAUUCCGUGCAAAUGUGAGAAGGCAGCGUAUGUUGGAGAAACGUGGAGAUUACUGAAGAAAAACGAAUGAAGAUAUCAAAAACGGGAACUUGACAAUGGCGAAUGAACGAAUGGGAAAGGAAGACGGGGGAUUAGCGCGACACAAUGUGAAUUGUUUAAGUGGAGUUGAUUGGGAAAAUACAAGUGUUGUGGCAAAAGAAAGU